AGCACUCUUCCUUCUUCUCUUUUCUUUCUUUCUUCUUUCCUCUUCUCUGUUCUUCAUUUCCCUUCCACCCGAGAGACACCAAACAGAGAGAGAUGCGGAGAAUGAGAGAGUGAGAUCGAGAGAUUGAGAGGGAUGAGACUCGGGAGAGAGAGAGAGAAAAGAGCAGAUCCGGUCGAUCCGUGAGGGAGACCCAAGUGAGACCCGGUCCUUUUGGAGGUCCGGUUGGUGGCUGGAUGACGGUGGUCGGCGCCGGUGAAGCAGUGGGUCAAAUUUCGGUGACUCCUAGUGCAAUUUUCGAUGAUUUGUGGGGAUUUUUCUAUAGAUAGUGUUCCUUUGGCUGCAGGUACUCGGGUCGUAGUUGAUGGGAGUGUAGACGUGCAUUUGAGAUAUUAUGACCGGAGCUCGCCGCGACGGUCGUAAAUGCGGGACCAUGGGCGUCCUCAGUUUUAUAGGUUUUGUUAUAGCUUGUGACGCAUGUGUCACUCGUUAUUGUAUAAAGCCAUUUCUGUUAUGUAUUUAUAUUGAGGAAAGACUUAAACA